UACGAAGGGGGGCUAGCGUUGCUCGGAAUUACUGGGCGUAAAGGGCGCGUAGGCGGCACUGUUAGUCAGGCGUGAAAAGUCCUGGGCUCAACCUGGGGAACUGCGCUUGAUACGGCAGAGCUAGAGGAUGGAAGAGGCUCGCGGAAUUCCCCAGUGUAGAGGUGAAAAUUCGUAGAUAUUGGGGAAGAACACCGGUGGCGAAGGCGGCGAGCUGGUCCAUUACUGACGCUGAGGCGCGACAGCGUGGGGGAGCAAACAGG
rnacentral:rRNA from 1 species